AGUCGAGGGGUAGGGCACUUCGGUGCUUGAGACCGGCGCACGGGUGCGUAACACGUAUGCAAUCUGCCUUCCACAGAGGGAUAGCCCAGAGAAAUUUGGAUUAAUACCUCAUAGCAUCAUGGCCCGGCAUCGGGAUAUGAUUAAAGUCACAACGGUGGAAGAUGAGCAUGCGUCCCAUUAGCUAGUUGGUAAGGUAACGGCUUACCAAGGCUACGAUGGGUAGGGGUCCUGAGAGGGAGAUCCCCCACACUGGUACUGAGACACGGACCAGACUCCUACGGGAGGCAGCAGUGAGGAAUAUUGGUCAAUGGGCGCAAGCCUGAACCAGCCAUGCCGCGUGCAGGAUGACGGUCCUAUGGAUUGUAAACUGCUUUUGUACGGGAAGAAACCCUCCUACGUGUAGGAGCUUGACGGUACCGUAAGAAUAAGGAUCGGCUAACUCCGUGCCAGCAGCCGCGGUAAUACGGAGGAUCCAAGCGUUAUCCGGAAUCAUUGGGUUUAAAGGGUCUGUAGGCGGUCUUGUAAGUCAGUGGUGAAAGCCCAUCGCUCAACGGUGGAACGGCCAUUGAUACUGCUGGACUUGAAUUAUUGGGAAGCAACUAGAAUAUGUAGUGUAGCGGUGAAAUGCUUAGAGAUUACAUGGAAUACCAAUUGCGAAGGCAGGUUGCUACCAAUGGAUUGACGCUGAUGGACGAAAGCGUGGGUAGCGAACAGGAUUAGAUACCCUGGUAGUCCACGCCGUAAACGAUGGAUACUAGCUGUUGGGCGCAAGUUCAGUGGCUAAGCGAAAGUGAUAAGUAUCCCACCUGGGGAGUACGAACGCAAGUUUGAAACUCAAAGGAAUUGACGGGGGCCCGCACAAGCGGUGGAGCAUGUGGUUUAAUUCGAUGAUACGCGAGGAACCUUACCAAGGCUUAAAUGCAGACUGACCGGUUUGGAAACAGACCUUUCGCAAGACGGUCUACAAGGUGCUGCAUGGUUGUCGUCAGCUCGUGCCGUGAG
rnacentral:rRNA from 1 species